GGGUCAGUAGGUUGGUCGUGCCACCGGUACGUACUGGUCUCACUGAUUCCUCCUUCCUGAGGACCCGUAAUGCCAUUAAUUUGGUGUUGCGGGGAAACAGGACUGUUACUUUGAAGAAAUUAGAGUGUUUAAAGCAAGCUAACGCUUGAAUACAUUAGCAUGGAAUAAUGAAAUAGGACGAUCGAUCCUAUUUUGUUGGUUUCUAGGAUUGACGUA
rnacentral:rRNA from 1 species